GAGUAUUAUGACAGUCGGAAAUCUGUACGGAGUUGGAUUUAAAACUUAACCUCAAAUAUUCACCAAAAAGAUAAAUAAAAGUAGAGUGCAUUCUUUAGAUGUUUUGGUUUGAGUAACUAAAAGUUAUAGUUCAUCGACGAGCGUCAUAUCUUGGUGUGUUAGGGUAGGAGGAAAUAAAAAUCAAAAGUGUCUCAACAAUUUCUUGUACUCUCUCAACAGGGGGGGGAAACAAUAUUAACAAAAUAUGCAUCCUGGCAAUAAUAAUUAAUACAAACAAUUAUUUACAUUAAAAAAUCAACAUAACUAUACAUAACCUAACGAGUGUGUACUUAUGCGCAAAGUAUACCUAAAAACAGGUAAAAAAAUCUAGUUUUACAAACAGAAUCUUAAAUAAGAUUAAACGUAAACGAUUUCCAUUGCUAAAAGAUCCACAACCGGAUAAUCAAUAUCACCAACUUGAGUAAAUAAAAUUAUUUUUUUAUCAAAUUGUAUUAGAAAAGUUAAAAUGAUCAGUUUGAAAGAAAAGAAACAUCUUUUUACACAUCGUCCAAAUAAUCCAAAUUGGUGAUAUCGAUAACACGGAAUUGUAACCUUUAAAUGAGAAAUUUAAACAAAAAGAUGCACCUUCUGAUUUCAUGGCAAAAAAGACUCUUUGAAAGUCUUUCGAACAUAUAUAUUUACAUCGCUUAAAAAUAUAUCACAUUUAUCAUAUUUGACACAUCAGAAUAUCGAGAUGAAUUAUAAAACAAACAAUUUCGUCAGUAUUUAUACCAAUGUAAGUGUGCUUGUGACUAAAUCCAAAGGAUUGAAGACAUUUUAUAAAAUAUAUUCUAUAGCAACGUGGAUUCCGCAGAACCUAAGGUUCCCAUAAAGAAAAUUCCCAGGAUUCUACAGAAUUAGUACCAAAAUCAUAAUCCAUAUUGGACAACCACUUUCAUAUAACUGAAAGAAAAUAAGAACUACCACAACUGAAUAUAUGAUAAAAUUCAUGGAAUCAUUGUGAGAUUACUUUCUAAAUACAAAUGUUGAUGUUUAAUGAUUAAAUUCAUCAUCAAAAGGCAACUGAUAAAGCUGUUUAAUCUUGAUUACGAACCAGAAAUAGAUCUGCAUAGUUGAUCGGCACUAAAACCCAUAAUUGAGUAUAUUUGUGAAUGAAUUUUGGUCUGGUUUUAGAAGUAGAUACCCGAAAGUAGACAAAACGUCACUACGCUAACAUUUAUCAUAAGAUUCGUUGAAAAGUGGUACAAUAAAUAAUUUCGAAUCGAUAGGACUUAAAGAGUGAUAAAACAGUGACAUAAUUCUAUUCCUUCUGAUAAAAGUUGACUUUAAAAAACUAUUUUCACUAUUAAAAUAUUUCUGAUGAAAAUUUGUGUCGUUUGAUUUGUAAUAUUUUGAUUUAUAUUUGGUGUAAGUCCAGUUAACUCAAAAUUUUGGGAAUCCCUGCUGUACAGAACCCGAAUAUAAAUAAAUACAGUCAAACUUGAUUAAAUAAAAAAUUUUCAUGGUUGAAACUCAUUGUGAUGUACAACCACUGAAUAACCUACAUUUUCUCUAUAUUUUGGAAUAGUUCUUUUGAUUUUAAUCAUUUUAAUUCAAUACAAAAAUUUUUGGAAACAUACUGCGGGGAAGAAAAGUUUUGAAAAACUGAUAAAAGUUGUUUUUGAACUCAAAAUGUUGUGGAAGAAGUGACAAAAUUAUAUAAACAGGUGAAAGUUCUGAACAAUGAAAAUAAAAUUAGUGAAUUGGUGUCUAAAUGGAUAUUGGGAUACUGGUCAUAGAUAAUUUUGAGAAAAUAGAAUCCGAAAGGCUGUAGAAGUUGUUGAAAAAGUAUAUAAACAAGUAAAAACUGUGUAUCGAACGACUUAUCUAGAAGUUUCAAGACUUGAUGUAGAACAAUCUAAACUGUAUGGAGUGUUCAAAUACAAAAUUUUUCCCAUGGGAGUGAAAAUUUGGAAAAUAUAAAGUAAAUAGAAGCUUUUUGUGUCGUUUUAUCAUUAUUGAGCUAGUCCGGGACUGCUUUUUGUUUGUGAUGUCUAGUAAAAGCACCGAGUGAUUGAUCUGGAAGUUUCGAGGUGUGGAUAUUUGAUCUAGAACAAUCGGAAGCAUACAGAACGUUCAAAUUAAGUCCGAAACGUCUCAAUGACAAUUUUUACUUCGAAAUUCAAGUUGUUUUGUUUUAUUUUUCACGAUUAUCAUUAUAGAAUUAUAAAAUAAAUAAAUACCUUUAAACUUUCAA